GUGAAUCAUCGAAUCUUUGAACGCAACUUGCGCUCCUUGGUAUUCCAAGGAGCAUGCCUGUUUGAGUGUCACGAAAUACACUUCAGAAAUGAGAGUUGGGUGGUUGCGCUUUAUUGGGCUCACCUGAAAUGUAUAGAAGCCAGUUGGACGCUAAAGUGAAAGGCCAACUAGUUUUGAACACUUUUGACCUCAAAUCAGGUAGGACUACCCGCUGAACUUAAGCAUAUCAAUAAGCGGAGGACUGUCUCUU
rnacentral:misc_RNA from 1 species